CAACUUGAAAACUGGGCCAAUAAUCAAAAAUCUAAGUACAUUUUUAGAUUCAGCAUAUCAAAGAACCCCAAGGAUUCAAUUUUUUGUUAAAAUCAAACUAAGUUUAAUUUUGGACCCUUUGGACCUUAAUGUAGACCAAUUUGAAAACGGGACCAAAAAUUAAGAAUCUACAUACACAGUUAGAUUCGGCAUAUCAAAGAACCCCAAUUAUUCAAUUUUUGAUGAAAUCAAAACAAAGUUCAAUUUUGGACCCUUUGGGCCCCUUAUUCCUAAACUGUUGGGACCAAACCUCCCAAAAUCAAACCCAACCUUCCUUUUAUGGUCAUAAACCUUGUGUUUAAAUUUCAUAGAUUUCUAUUUACUAAUACUAAAGUUAUGGUGCGAAAACCAAGAAUAAUGCUUAUUUGGGCCCCUUUUUGGCCCCUAAUUCCUAAACUGUUGGGACCAAAACUCCCAAAAACAAUCCCAACCUUCCUUUUGUGUUCAUAUACCUUUUGUUUAAAUUUCAUUGAUUUCUAUUUACUUAUACUAAAGUUAUUGUACGAAAACCAAGAAUAAUGCUUAUUUGGGCCCUUUUUUGGCCCCUAAUUCCUAAACUGUUGGAACCAAAACUCCCAAAAUCAAUCCCAACCUUCCUUUUGUGGUCAUAAACCUUGUGUCAAAAUUUCAUAGAUUUCAAUUUACUUAAACUAAAGUUAUAGUGCGAAAACCAAGAAAAUGCUUAUUUGGGCCCUUUUUGGCCCCUAAUUCCUAAAAUGUUGGGACCAAAAACUCCCAAAAUCAAUCCCAACCUUCAUUUUGUGGUCAUAAACCUUGUGUUAAAAUUUCAUAGAUUUCUAUUCACUUUUACUAAAGUUAGAGUGCGAAAACUAAAAGUAUUCGGACGACGACGCAAGACAACGACGCAGGACGACGACGACGACGCCAACGUGAUAGUAAUAUACGACGAAAAAUUAAAAUUUUUGCGGUCGUAUAAAAACACACAGAAGACAUUUAGGUCUUCAACAAUAUAAAC
rnacentral:lncRNA from 1 species